CUUGUGGUGGCGUCUAGGGUUUUAUUGUUAUUGACUAACACAACCACUACCAAUCACAUGGCCGGAGCUGGAAUCCACCCAUACCACCAGCAGUGGCCGCCGGCAGCUGCUCCUCCGCCUCCACCCGCUGCGGCUGCUGCCCCUCCUCCUCCUCCUAUCCAUCAUCCUCCUCCGGUCCUUGUUGAUAAUAGCAAUCGCGGUCCUACGCACGAUGAGGUUCGAACAAUAUUCAUUACGGGGCUUCCUGAAGAUGUGAAGGAGAGAGAGCUUCAGAACUUAUUGAGAUGGCUACCAGGAUAUGAGGCUUCACAAGUGAACUACAAGGGAGAAAAGCCUAUGGGUUUUGCUCUCUUCUCCACUGCCCAG
rnacentral:misc_RNA from 1 species